GAUGAAGAACGUAGCGAAAUGCGAUAAGUAAUGUGAAUUGCAGAAUUCAGUGAAUCAUCGAGUCUUUGAACGCACAUUGCGCCCCCUGGUAUUCCGGGGGGCAUGCCUGUCCGAGCGUCAUUGCUGCCCUCAAGCACGGCUUGGGUGUUGGGCCCCGCCCCCCGGCUCCCGGGGGGCGGGCCCGAAAGGCAGCGGCGGCACCGCGUCCGGUCCUCGAGCGUAUGGGGCUUCGUCACCCGCUCCGUAGGCCCGGCCGGCGCCCGCCGGCGACCCCCCUCAAUCUUUUCAGGUUGACCUCGGAUCAGGUAGGGAUACCCGCUGAACUUAAGCAUAUCAAUAAGCGGAGGA
rnacentral:misc_RNA from 1 species